UACGGAGGGUGCAAGCGUUAUCCGGAUUCACUGGGUUUAAAGGGUGCGUAGGCGGACAGGUAAGUCAGUGGUGAAAUCUCUGGGCUUAACCCAGAAACUGCCGUUGAUACUAUUUGUCUUGAAUAUCCUGGAGGUAGGCGGAAUAUGUCAUGUAGCGGUGAAAUGCUUAGAUAUGACAUAGAACACCGAUAGCGAAGGCAGCUUACUACAGGAUGAUUGACGCUGAGGCACGAAAGCGUGGGGAGCAAACAGG
rnacentral:rRNA from 2 species